GACGAACGCUGGCGGCGUGCUUAACACAUGCCAGUCGAACGGAAAGGCCCUGCUUUUGUGGGGUGCUCGAGUGGCGAACGGGUGAGUAACACGUGAGUAACCUGCCCUUGACUUUGGGAUAACUUCAGGAAACUGGGGCUAAUACCGGAUAGGAGCUCCUGCUGCAUGGUGGGGGUUGGAAAGUUUCGGCGGUUGGGGAUGGACUCGCGGCUUAUCAGCUUGGUGGUGGGGUAGUGGCUUACCAAGGCUGUGACGGGUAGCCGGCCUGAGAGGGUGACCGGCGACAUUGGGACUGAGAUACGGCCCAGACUCCUACGGGAGGCAGCAGUGGGGAAUAUUGCACAAUGGGCGGAAGCCUGAUGCAGCAACGCCGCGUGCGGGAUGACGGCCUUCGGGUUGUAAACCGCUUUCGCCUGGGACGAAGCGUGAGUGACGGUAAUGGGUAAAGAAGCACCGGCUAACUACGUG
rnacentral:rRNA from 1 species